rnacentral:rRNA from 1 species
UACGUAGGUGGCAAGCGUUGUCCGGAUUUACUGGGUGUAAAGGGCGCGUAGGCGGGAUGGCAAGUCAGAUGUGAAACCUCCGGGCUUAACCCGGAAACUGCAUUUGAAACUGUUAUUCUUGAGUAUCGGAGAGGCGAGCGGAAUUCCUAGUGUAGCGGUGAAAUGCGUAGAUAUUAGGAGGAACACCAGUGGCGAAGGCGGCUUGUUGGACGACAACUGACGCUGAGGCGCGAAAGCGUGGGGAGCAAAC